AUGCUUUUCGAGUUAGCUCGCGAGACUGUUAAUACGUUUUUGACCGAAACUGAUAGUUAUAUUAAACCGUGGUUCUUUAACAAACUGAACUGCAUUUCUUUAUUACUUAAUUUUUCUGAAUGCAUUUCGCGCCUGAUCAACAGAGACUCGACUGAGCUGUUAAUGGAGAUGGAAGACCCUUCAGAUCCGAGUCUGUCUCUGCUCUCAUCGUCCAAGAAUCAUGUGUCCAGAGAUGCGACCAACAUCAUACCAUCACCUUCAAACCUGCAAGACCCAGUCAUAAAGUGGCCAGACACCACAUCUGAUUCAAAAAGCAGAAAGACUUCCACACCCCCUCCAUCAACCUCUGUCUGUCCUGAAGCAGAGGAUGUUGAGUGUCUGACACCUGUGGGCUCAGGGAAGAGAACCAGGGUGUCUGUGAAGAAGUGCUGUGUUCGUAGGAAAGAAUUUAAAACAACUAGUGCACUUAAAACACACCUCUUGAUCCACAGACAGGAUGGGCCUCAGUUCUGUGGCGUCUGUCAGAGAGCAUUUAAACACCAUCAUCAGCUCACUUCUCACCUGAUGACCCACCACAAGAGAAAGAGAUAUACCUGCACUCAGUCUGGCUGCCACAAAACCUACGAUGACAAAAACUCCCUAAAACAUCACUGUGCCUCUCGACACAGAGUCCACCUCAUGUCUCCUUCCUCCUCCAACCUCUCUUCCAACUAUGACCUGCCGGCCUCAGCGAGGGAGCCAGCGGUUAAUCUAACUGCAUCCGACUACCUCUUUACCUCUCAACCAAAGCCUGUUUCAGCUCCUGUGCUAAAGAAUUCCAGUUAUUCUGGAAAACUCUUCGGUUCUUAUGACACAGGAGAUCUUGGGAUGGGGCGCCAGGCAGAAGAUGCCCAUCCCUCUCAGGUUAAAAAUUCAUUGUGUCAAGAAAGCUGGACUUUAGCGUCUGCCUCUGACUCUUAUAAGGUCGAAGCAAGCAAGAAGAUGCUAAACUCCACCCAGUGGACUCUGGGUAUCGAAGAAAAUCCAGUGGUUUCACGGAACCCAUUUGAUGUCCAUGGUUUAGAAACCGGUCUUGAUUUUCCUGAAACUUACCCAGAAGAAUUGAAAGAGAUGCUGUCAUUUCGGCCUAACAGAGAGGCACUUACCCCCAGCAUGAGUUUUCCUGUGAGGCCGCGAGCUUCAGUUUACUCCAAACAGCAUUGUCCCAUACUGCUGAAACACAGUCUGAGCAAGUUAAAGCGACGGCACACCUUUUCCAGUUUCAGUUAUCCUGCUGUAUUAUACCCUGAACCAAAGAGUGAUUCUGACUGUAAUCUUGCCGAUCCAGUACUUGAUUCUCCUCCUGCAACAUUGCCCAACAGUAGGAAGAGGAAGUCCUGCUCCAAGGACAUCCUGUCUGAUGUUCCAACUCCUCCACUGCCUGUUCCUCAGCCCACUUGUCAUAAACGUUCACGACCACGCUCUUCCUACCUUGUCUCACCAAGUCAAGUGGCACUUGCGUCCUUCAGCACUUACCUCGGCAAAGAGUUUUUACAAAAGGAGCCCGUUUUGAAAUCAAAAGGAGUGGAACCAAAGGCUGGUUGCAGAACAUAUAAAAGAACUUCAUCUGUUCGUAGAGCUCAGUCGCAGCCCUCAUGUUCUCAAGAAGCUGUUGAGGAACAUGAUUUAAAAGAUGAUGGACAGAAGGGGGCUUCAGGACAAAAGUCCAAAGGGACAAACCUGUCUCCAUUUAUCAAUACUGUGUCUGCCCCAGUCUCUGCAACAUUUUAG
ensembl:lncRNA